GAGUGCUUAGCUUGAUAGGAAAGUACUUAAUUGUUAAUUAUAGUAGUUUUAGUUUAAAUCUAAAAGGGCUCA
rnacentral:tRNA from 1 species